AACAAACACACAAUAACAACAACAACAAGAGGAGCAACCGCACACUGAGAGAGGAGGUGCUGAGGAACCUGCGCAGUGUUGUGAGUCUCACCUUUCUGCUGGGGAUGACGUGGAGCUUCGCCCUGUUCGCCUGGGGUCCGGUGUACCUGGCCUUCACCUACCUGUUCUCCAUCUUCAACUCCCUGCAAGGUCUGUUCAUAUUCAUCUUCCACUGCGCGCUGAAAGAGAACGUCCAGAAACAGUGGAGGAGAUUCCUCUGCUGCGGGAGGUUCAGACUGUCCGACAACUCAGGUACUGUGUGUGUGUGUGUGUGUGUGUG